rnacentral:lncRNA from 1 species
UGAUGAGGGCGUGACUGGAUGCGAUUAGGGUUUGCACAGGGCAGAAAAGGGCAAAAGUGUAAAGGGGCAGAAAGGGCCAAAAGAAAUGGAAUGCAGCGUUGAUGGAUCCGGCGUUUGUAGGGUUGAAACGAAACCUUAAAAAAUUUUGGCACUCAAACGCGCCUUGUUUGUGGAAAUCGGCAGAAUGAAGGUGGAGAGAGAAUCGGGGGGAGAGAGAGUGAAUUUGUGGACUUUUUUGUGGAGACAGAAUGAAGGUGGAGAGAGAAUCGGCAGAAUGCCCCAAAUUUGUUUUCCCCCUUUUUUGUGACCCGCGUCAUUUUUUAACCUAAUAUAUGACCCGCGUAUGUUUUUUUUCCUUUGGUCCGUUGUUAGUCCUUUAGUAAGGUCCGUCCAAGAUCCUGCCUCAACCAGCGUGUGUCCACCAUGUAUGUUACCUUUUCCAAAGUACUAUGAACUAUCAAAUUAGUGAGACCCUACCCUAUCCUUCCUAGCGGAUGACUAUAGGUAAACUCAAAACUAACAUUUCGAUACAAGCGAUGAAUAUAAAAAAUAAUUUGAAUAAAAGCUAUGAGUAUAAAAAAUAAUUUAAAUAAAAAUAUAAGUAAAAUUUGAGCAAAGAUUAUACUCGACAACUCAAAUUUUAGAUUAUGAUUCGAUACAUACUCAAAAUGAU